rnacentral:lncRNA from 1 species
AUGCUGAUUUGUAAAAUGAAAGCUUCUGCAAGUGAAUUUUUUAGGCAGCACAAAAGAAACAAACAGAUGGCUGGGCCUGAAGCUCACUGUGAUAGAAUCAGCCAACCCUGCUGCAAUACGUUUUUUCAGACUGUCUUAAAUGAAGAUGUAUGCAGCAGCUCUUUGAUCUGCCAAGGCCUGUUUGAUUCUCCGAAUGACUAAUGCACCUGAGAAUGACAAGGAAAGAGUGCCAUCAUUUGACAGCUACAUCUUACAGCUUUUAGUUCACACUGCAGACUGUUUGACCUACUUACACAGAGAAGAAUUACAACAAAAGCUUGAGAAAACACAAAGAAUAUCAUUCCACAAAUGGAUCUUGUUUUUUUCCCCAAAAAACUGAUAAUUCAUAACAAAGCUACCAUAGUAUCUAUUCAAAAAAGCACUGGGGACAAUGUGAUUUUGACAGCUAUAUAAGUGUCACUAAUGGAACUGUAAGCUUUAAAAUAAAAAUCAUUAUUGCAUGCA